GACGAACGCUGGCGGCGUGCUUAACACAUGCAAGUCGAACGGAAAGGCCCUGCUUUUGUGGGGUGCUCGAGUGGCGAACGGGUGAGUAACACGUGAGUAACCUGCCCUUGACUUUGGGAUAACUUCAGGAAACUGGGGCUAAUACCGGAUAGGAGCUCCUGCUGCAUGGUGGGGGUUGGAAAGUUUCGGCGGUUGGGGAUGGACUCGCGGCUUAUCAGCUUGUUGGUGGGGUAGUGGCUUACCAAGGCUUUGACGGGUAGCCGGCCUGAGAGGGUGACCGGCCACAUUGGGACUGAGAUACGGCCCAGACUCCUACGGGAGGCAGCAGUGGGGAAUAUUGCACAAUGGGCGGACGCCUGAUGCAGCAACGCCGCGUGCGGGAUGACGGCCUUCGGGCUGUAAACCGCUUUCGCCUGUGACGAAGCGUGAGUGACGGUAAUGGGUAAAGAAGCACCGGCUAACUACGUG
rnacentral:rRNA from 1 species